rnacentral:rRNA from 1 species
ACGAACGCUGGCGGCGUGCCUAAUACAUGCAAGUAGAACGCUGAAGAGAGGAGCUUACUCUUCUUGGAUGAGUUGCGAACGGGUGAGUAACGCGUAGGUAACCUGCCUUGUAGCGGGGGAUAACUAUUGGAAACGAUAGCUAAUACCGCAUAACAAUGGAUGACACAUGUCAUUUAUUUGAAAGGGGCAAUUGCUCCACUACAAGAUGGACCUGCGUUGUAUUAGCUAGUAGGUGAGGUAAUGGCUCACCCAGGCGACGAUACAUAGCCGACCUGAGAGGGUGAUCGGCCACACUGGGACUGAGACACGGCCCAGACUCCUACGGGAGGCAGCAGUAGGGAAUCUUCGGCAAUGGGGGCAACCCUGACCGAGCAACGCCGCGUGAGUGAAGAAGGUUUUCGGAUCGUAAAGCUCUGUUGUAAGUCAAGAACGGGCGUGAGAGUGGAAAGUUCACACUGUGACGGUAGCUUACCAGAAAGGGACGGCUAACUACGUG